GUUUGAUGUCUCUCACUGAAUUUCUCUGUUUCUUUUUUGUAGGAUGUCGUCGGGAUUGUGGCGAAACUAUCAAAACUCUCUGAAACUCCGAAAGACAAAAAGGUUCGAAGUUGAGGGAGGAAACAAGAAGAUAUGUUGUAGUUACCGAAACAAUGAAAGGCUUGUGUUUCAUCAGAUUGAGGUCACUGAUCCUGUGAAGAAGAACGACUUCUACUCUGGAAGAGAGGAAAUAGGGAAGAUGUCACAAGAUGGGUGAGUCACGAACUGCAAGAUGUAGUCACGAGAGGGAAGAUGUCACAAGAUGCAAG